rnacentral:misc_RNA from 1 species
GAUGAAGAACGCAGCGAAUUGCGAUAAGUAAUGUGAAUUGCAGAAUUCAGUGAAUCAUCGAAUCUUUGAACGCACAUUGCGCCCCUUGGUAUUCCGAGGGGCAUGCCUGUUCGAGCGUCAUUUCAACCCCUCAAGCUUCGGCUUGGUGUUGGGCCGCGCCGCUGCACCAGCAGCUGGCGGGCCUCAAAAUCAGUGGCGGUGCCGUCUCGGCUCUAAGCGUAGUAACAUCUCUCGCUCUGGAGACCUGGCGGUGGCUUGCCAGACAACCCCCAACUUUCUUUAAGGUUUGACCUCGGAUCAGGUAGGGAUACCCGCUGAACUUAAGCAUAUCAAUAAGCGGAGGA